GGAAAAAGAAGAACCAAGAUGCAUUAUGGAAAGGUAUAAGAUCCCAACGAGGAAUGUAACUGUAUUGUAUACCUAAAAUGUACCAAUGAACUUAAUGAAUUAAAAAGGGUAGGAGAAAAAGGGAGAUACAGCAUAUAUGUAUAUGUGUGUAUAUGUGUUAUAUAUGUGCAUAUCCUGGAUCCUUUCCUUGAGUGAAACAUUUCAGGAACCGGGGUUGAGUCCUAGGUCCUGGUUAGUUUUCCCGGAUGUGAGAGCCUGCACAUAGGACAGGACAGCUCCAGUUCAUCCGGGUGUUUUCUGAUGUGACAAAAUUGAAGUUCAGCAGUGGGUUUUUUUUGUUUUUUGGUACGGGGGAUUGAACUCGGAUCCUUGUGCUUGCAAGGCAGGCGGUAGAACCACUGAGCUACAUCCCCGGCCCUCAGCAGAGUGGCUUUGAAGUGUGUUUUAGUGUCCCUUCCUCUUGGCAGGCCCUGUGUGGAGAUCUGGAGCAGUUCUUCGAUACCGCAGAUUAAACCCACGUGGGCAGUCAGCCGGGAGCGUUGUGUUCCCCGGGGCUCCACAAGAUCGCUGUCCUCGUGCCCAUUUUCCUGAAGAGGAAACAGAGGCAUGGAGGCUGGGUAACUUGCCCAAGUCCCUGUAGCUCUAGGCAGCCGGCAGGCACGAGGAUUACCCUGUGGUCUUUAGAAAUACCUUCCCCGACUUGAUUUCAGCACUUGAGGGAGAACUGGGUGCUGACAAGGGGACUCCGCCUCCAGCGCGGGCCAUGCAGCGAGUCGCAGCAGAAUCCACGUGAAUGGGAUGCCACACGGCUCGUGCAGGUUGGCCCGCAGGGAUUGCCAGCUCUAGCCUUUCAACCUGUGUGUGCUGUGGCCGGGCGUACUGUUACCAAGAUCAUGGCCUGGGCAGACAGAAGUCUGGACACUCGUGGUAGAAAUGGAGUUGUGCGCACUCGACCUUUCGUGUCUGCCCACCUCUGACUCCAGCACCAAGCAAACGCCCCAGAGGAGGAGCCCCUUCGACAUGGAGACGGCUCUGGGGGGCUUUGUCCUCACAGCACUGGGAAUUUGCGGCGAGCCCCGGGCGGCCCCUCCCUUCUCUCUGCUGCCUGACACCGGGACGUGAGCAGCUCUCCUGCGCCACCCUCUGCUGUGCCGUUUCUGCCUUGGAGCCAGCUGACCUGGGCUGAAAAGGGCAUCCAGGUGGUGCAGGACUCUGUGAAACGCUCCCCGACUGCCGGCCAGGCCGGGCCCAUCCUCCACCUCCAUGAUGUCUCCACAGCUGGCUGCCUUCCUUCUAAGCAGGUGUCACAAGCCCUCUGUUUCCAAGGAGAUAAUUCCUCUUUGCAGUCCAUCUUCUCCAUGGGAUCAUCAGCCCCCCAGGGUCAGGACCAUUUGUGUCCAUAACUGUUCUGCACGGAGUGUGAGGCACAGCAUGUGUGCCCUGUGAUGUCUGUCAGCUGAUGCACAGGAAGAUGGAAUUGCAGCUCGUGAGCUUUUGAUUUCUGGUGCUUUUCACUAAUAGACAACACCAGCACCCUGCGCCACAACCUCCGUGGGCUCCUGGGGAAGCAGUGGGGUCUCUGCGUGCCACGGUCACCCUGGCCGCAGUGGCCCGUGUGCCCAGGAGGUGGCAGUGUUGCAACUCCCUGGCCGCCCAGGCCUCUGAGUUCGGUGAACCUGCCUCUUCAGCCUGGAACCCAGGCUCCAGGCCGGAAGGAAGCACAGUGUUUGUUUGUCCGAACACAAAUCCUGUCCGAGUCGCACGUCUGGAGGGAGCCUCUGGCUUCUCCCUCUGGUCAGGGGCCUGAUCUUCCCAGGACGGCUCAUUGUCACCCCAGCCACCAGCUCCCACAACUGCCCAGGGAGGGGCUGCUGGCUCCCCCCUGGGGCUGUGUACGAGAAGCCCAAAGUAUAAAUAAUUUAAAAAUGAAUAAAAUAAAAGAUAGAUUAUAAGAAAAAGGGAGAGAGGUUUUUUUGGUACGGGGCAUCCAACUUGGGUUCUUCUGCUUGCAGGGCAGGUGGCAGAACCACUGAGCCAAAUCCCUGGCCCGAGAUAGGUUUUUUGCAAGUAGGAAGAGGACCAAGAGAUGAAGGGAAGGGGAAGUAAAAAGAACGAGAUGUGCUCUGUGCGCACACUAGCUCCACAUGAG
ensembl:lncRNA